GAUGAACGCUAGCGGCAGGCUUAACACAUGCAAGUCGAGGGGCAGCGGGAGUAGCAAUACUUGCCGGCGACCGGCGCAAGGGUGCGUAACGCGUGAGCAACAUGCCCGUAUCAGGGGGAUAAUCCAUGGAAACGUGGUCUAAUACCCCAUAGUAAAUUUUUGGGGCAUCUCAAAGAUUUUAAAGCUUUGGUGGAUACGGAUUGGCUCGCGUGACAUUAGCUAGAUGGUAAGGUAACGGCUUACCAUGGCUACGAUGUCUAGGGGUUCUGAGAGGAAGGUCCCCCACACUGGAACUGAGACACGGUCCAGACUCCUACGGGAGGCAGCAGUGAGGAAUAUUGGACAAUGGAUGGAAAUCUGAUCCAGCCAUGCCGCGUGCAGGAAGACGGCCCUAUGGGUUGUAAACUGCUUUUGUAUGGGAGCAAUAAGGUCUACGUGUAGACCGAUGAGAGUACCAUACGAAUAAGCACCGGCUAACUCCGUGCCAGCCGCCGCUGUAA
rnacentral:rRNA from 1 species